rnacentral:pre_miRNA from 1 species
CCUACACCUAUGUGUGUAGGACUUCAAAGGAUCAUCAUUAAAUUUAGCACAGAUCCUUAGAAAAGUUAUCAUAUGAGUGUGAGACUUGACUUUUCUAGAUAUCUGUGUCAAAUUUAAUGGUAAUCCUUUGAAGUCCUGCACACAUGAGUGUGGG